rnacentral:tRNA from 1 species
GGGGCGAUGGCGGAAUCGGCAUACGCGGCGGUCUUAAAAACCGCUGGUCUAACGACCAUGUGGGUUCAAGUCCCACUCGCCUCA